GUACUUUCUGUCUCUAAUCUUCCUUCUCUCUUUUCUUUUUUCUCACGAUUUAUUUCUAUAAUUAUGUUUUGGUCCGUAGGUUCGUUAUCUUCUUGGAUUUAUGUAGUACGAGUGAUAGCCCUCCCAUAAUGGGUGAUAAAACAUGCACCCGCAAGAUAUGGAUGUUUUUGGAGGAAAUCAUAUUGAAGACGUGAUUUGUUAUUCUACUAUUUUUAUUGAUUCUCACUGUCGACUUUGUAUGCAUGCCUUAACGGUUUUCGUAGCUCAUAUUGUUGAUUCACUUAAUGGUUUUCCUAGCUUAAACGGAGAGACAUGCCAGGCAGUUGCGGCUGCUCGCUCUCCUUUUGAUCUUAGUUUGCUCCAGCAAAACAGGUGAUUGAUUCCAUAUACAUGUUUUUUCUUAUUUAUAUUAUCAACCUAAAAGUUGAAUGAGUUUUUGUUUAUCUUGAUUAUUGUUUUGAUUUAUUUAUUGGCCGAGAGAAGAGGCAUGGAAUAGAAAAAAUCCUAACUCUAUGGCAAGAUAUCUAUUCCGUUAGAAUGCUACAUCAAGCUAUAAUGGAAUAUAGGAAUCUUCCAUUAAAUAACAGGUAAAUUGUAAACAUUAAAAGUUGUUCGAAGCCGUUCUUCCAGAACUGUGUGUAUGAAUCUUUAAUUUGGAUUUCUGCAAAUCAGGUCUAAUUGCUCUCUGGAGAUUUUAGUGUAUAUCUUAAGCUAAGUUGCCUUAUCCUGGCUACUACUGUUAACCCUGUUCUGUCGAACUUUUUGGUUAUUGGAGUCAGCAGAAGUUGCCAGGGAAAGAAAACUUAUCGGCCGCCAACUAUGAAAAACUAAAGAGUGAUGGGGAGAGGUGUUGUGCUUUUUGUUCACUGCCUAAUUUUGUACAAGCUGAUUUGGUAAUUGGGAUAGUAAUCACUGCAUAAAAGCUUCAGAAAGUAAAUAUAGUUUUUUACAAAAGAGCAUAGGUAUAUAUCAAAAUAUCCCAACCAGAUGUGUAGUGAGUUAUCUACCCUUCCUAUACACGCUAACAUUAGGAACUAUGAAGCUAUAGAGAAGUAAAAUAAAUAUCGUCAUUUUCUUCGAUGGGUACCUUAGAUCCUUUAAUUUUUACUGUCAUUCAUUAUUUUAAAUAAAUAGAUUGAUUAUUUGGGAAGACAAUUCGUAGGUGCUUGAAACUAAAAGUGUGCCUUCUUCCUACUGACAUAGGUGCUUGAAAUAUGUUACAUAUGAAAUUGGUCUCUAGGUACCUGUCUCCUAAUGUUCUACACAACCUGUAGUUAACCAUUUUUUUUCUUUGAUAUUUUUCAGCUAAUCAGAUCUUUAUCAACUCUGUGCUUUUAUGAAGCAUUAUUGAUGGCAAGGAUGCUGGUGCAGAUACUCCCUUCAAUACUGUUCUAUUUGAUCAUGUAGGAGGUCUAAUACUUUGCAAUACAUUAUCUCUUUUAAAUCUUUUAUGUUAGUAGCAUUUUAGAUUUUCAGGUGGUUUUAACAUCGAAAUUCGUGCUUAGGAACGGUAAGAUGGAUCAUGUGAUUACAUUAGGAACAGAGAAACCUAGAAAAUCGAUACCACACAUUUUGGAGUAUCUUGAUUUAGCAUAUUUCUCACUAAACUUAUGUUUGAUUCAGGUCAGGUUAUUUUUCCUAUACUUGACUUCUUUCUAUGGUUUGCCUAGCGGAAUAAAUUUAUUCACUGAUGUCUCUUUUAUUGCUGUAUUCAUGAAUAAUGUCAAUAAUAUGUAUCGGGAAAAGAUCUAAAACAUAACGUCCUUUAAUUAUUUUUGUGGUGUUGUAUUUUGUUCUAGGCGUUAAAUUUGUUCAGGCAUGAGUAUAAAUGGGCUCAACAGAUUUAGUGGAGAAUUAGAAAAAUGAGUAUAAAGAGGCAGACGUCUGUUCUUGGAUUGAUUGAAGUAUUGAGCAUUACAAAGUAAACUCAUCAUCCAUCUACCAUAUGCUUUACAAUGGGUUCACAUAGCUGCGUUUUAGUUUUUUCCAUCCAAGACAUUGUGUAUUUUGAGUAGCUUGACUGUCACCAGUGUAGACCAAAAUAUCAAUUCUUUGAUUUUGAAUGUAAACCUCUCUAAUUUUUAUCUCCUCCCUUUUCUGAGAUUUUCAUUACUUAAGUUCCAUAAAAUGUAAAUUUUAAUUUGCUAA